rnacentral:rRNA from 1 species
UACGAAGGGUGCAAACGUUGCUCGGAAUUAUUGGGCGUAAAGCGCACGUAGGCGGCUUGGCAAGUCGGAUGUGAAAUCCCUCGGCUCAACCAAGGAAGUGCAUCGAAACUGCCGAGCUUGAGUACUUAAGAGGAUCGCGGAAUUCCCGGUGUAGAGGUGAAAUUCGUAGAUAUCGGGAGGAACACCAGUGGCGAAGGCGGCGAUCUGGGAAGAUACUGACGCUGAGGUGCG